UACGUAGGGUGCAAGCGUUGUCCGGAAUUAUUGGGCGUAAAGAGCUCGUAGGCGGUCUGUCGCGUCUGCUGUGAAAACCUGGGGCUUAACCCCGGGCCUGCAGUGGGUACGGGCAGACUAGAGUGCGGUAGGGGAGACUGGAAUUCCUGGUGUAGCGGUGAAAUGCGCAGAUAUCAGGAGGAACACCGGUGGCGAAGGCGGUGGUCUGGGCCGGCACUGACGCUGAGGAGCGAAAGCGUGGGGAGCGAACAGG
rnacentral:rRNA from 1 species